ACAACUUCCAGAUGACUUGUCUACCGAGCAAUAUCACCCGCUCGCGGGAAGAUCUUCCUUUUGUCGU
rnacentral:pre_miRNA from 1 species